rnacentral:tRNA from 1 species
UUAAUUAAAGCCAAAAAGAGGCUUAUCAUUGUUAAUGAUAUAAUUGAUAAAAAUAUCUAAUUAAA